rnacentral:lncRNA from 1 species
UAAAUUAAACUUGAUAAAGAGUAAUAUAUAUAUAGUAUGUCAUUCAGAAUUGUUAAAAUCGGAACGGCGAAAAAUAGAUCCAGAAAAUAAUUUAAUGCAAGAAAAGAAAAGAUAAGCGGAAAGAACACACCGAUAUUUACGUGGUUCGGCCAACGGCCUACGUCCACGGGCGAAGACGGAGCAAAUACUUUAUUAAUGUCGAAAAGGCGGAGUACAAAGAAGAUCUCUCUCUCAAAUUAAGAUCCCAAAUAAAGUAUUUGAUUGACGCACAUAUGCAUUUAGCAUNAAAAAAUUUUAGAGAUUAGGGAUGAAAAUUCUAAGUCCUCUGUGAAGAACAGGUAAAAGAGCUCAAUGGGGUCGUAUACCAGGUAUUUAUAGGCUGCUGGAUGGAUAAGAUAAACCCCAGGAAAAAAACUGCAAUCCAGUGCCCCUGCAGAAACGGGCGUUUCUGGGCGCCCGGAACCAUGUUCUUGGCGACCAGAACAUCCCGACUGCACAAACCGGGCUCCUCGGACUCUCCGCUCGCGGUGCGCUGCGCCCGUAAACGGCUCCGGCGGAACUCACCUACCACCCUGCCACGCGUCGAAGCAAGCGAUAUUCACGAUGUCAAAUUUCCGGACCCACUUCUGGGCGCCCGAAACUUGGGAUCCGAAUUGGCUUCCAGUUUCAGUUAAAUUCAACACUCGUUUCUGGGCGACCCUGACAAUGUUCUGGGCGCCCGAAUCUGGCAAAACUCCAGUUUUGCUUAUUUGAGUGCGCCGAGUCCAAUUCUGCAUCCAAUUCGUGCAGAAUUGACUCCGACUCAGUCCGACACUCUCCAGAGAUGUCGACCAGUCUAUAAUACUGAAGCCAAUCCUAUCCAAAGCUCAGGAACACUACA